GCCUGGGUGGCUUGGUCGGUUAAGCGUCAGACUUCGGCUCAGGUCAUGAUCUCACGGUCCGUGGGUUCGAGCCCCGCAUCAGGCU
rnacentral:tRNA from 1 species